GAUGAACGCUGGCGGCGUGCCUAAUACAUGCAAGUCGAGCGAACAGAUGAGAAGCUUGCUUCUCUGAUGUUAGCGGCGGACGGGUGAGUAACACGUGGGUAACCUACCUAUAAGACUGGGAUAACUCCGGGAAACCGGGGCUAAUACCGGAUAAUAUUUUGAACCGCAUGGUUCGAUAGUGAAAGACGGUUUCGGCUGUCACUUAUAGAUGGACCCGCGCCGUAUUAGCUAGUUGGUAAGGUAACGGCUUACCAAGGCGACGAUACGUAGCCGACCUGAGAGGGUGAUCGGCCACACUGGAACUGAGACACGGUCCAGACUCCUACGGGAGGCAGCAGUAGGGAAUCUUCCGCAAUGGGCGAAAGCCUGACGGAGCAACGCCGCGUGAGUGAUGAAGGUCUUCGGAUCGUAAAACUCUGUUGUUAGGGAAGAACAAAUUUGUUAGUAACUGAACAAGUCUUGACGGUACCUAACCAGAAAGCCACGGCUAACUACGUGCCAGCAGCCGCGGUAAUACGUAGGUGGCAAGCGUUAUCCGGAAUUAUUGGGCGUAAAGCGCGCGUAGGCGGUUUCUUAAGUCUGAUGUGAAAGCCCACGGCUCAACCGUGGAGGGUCAUUGGAAACUGGGAAACUUGAGUGCAGAAGAGGAGAGUGGAAUUCCAUGUGUAGCGGUGAAAUGCGCAGAGAUAUGGAGGAACACCAGUGGCGAAGGCGGCUCUCUGGUCUGUAACUGACGCUGAUGUGCGAAAGCGUGGGGAUCAAACAGGAUUAGAUACCCUGGUAGUCCACGCCGUAAACGAUGAGUGCUAGGUGUUAGGGGGUUUCCGCCCCCUAGUGCUGCAGCUAACGCAUUAAGCACUCCGCCUGGGGAGUACGACCGCAAGGUUGA
rnacentral:rRNA from 1 species